UACGUAGGGUGCGAGCGUUAAUCGGAAUUACUGGGCGUAAAGCGUGCGCAGGCGGUUCGUUGCGUCGGCGGUGAAAUCCCCGGGCUUAACCUGGGAAUGGCCAUGGAAACUGGCGAACUGGAGUGUGGCAGAGGGGGGUGGAAUUCCGCGUGUAGCAGUGAAAUGCGUAGAGAUGCGGAGGAACACCGAUGGCGAAGGCAGCCCCCUGGGCUAGCACUGACGCUCAGGCACGAAAGCGUGGGGAGCAAACAGG
rnacentral:rRNA from 1 species